rnacentral:rRNA from 1 species
GAUGAACGCUGGCGGCGUGCCUAAUACAUGCAAGUCGAGCGAACAGACGAGGAGCUUGCUCCUUUGACGUUAGCGGCGGACGGGUGAGUAACACGUAGGUAACCUACCUAUAAGACUGGGAUAACUUCGGGAAACCGGAGCUAAUACCGGAUAAUAUUUCGAACCGCAUGGUUCGAUGGUGAAAGAUGGCUUUGCUAUCACUUAUAGAUGGACCUGCGCCGUAUUAGCUAGUUGGUAAGGUAACGGCUUACCAAGGCAACGAUACGUAGCCGACCUGAGAGGGUGAUCGGCCACACUGGAACGGAGCCGCGGUCCAGACUCCUACGGGAGGCAGCAGUAGGGAAUCUUCCGCAAUGGGCGAAAGCAUGACGGAGCAACGCCGCGUGAGUGAUGAAGGUCUUCGGAUCGUAAAACUCUGUUAUUAGGGAAGAACAAACGUGUAAGUAACUGUGCACGUCUUGACGGUACCUAAUCAGAAAGCCACGGCUAACUACGUG